rnacentral:lncRNA from 1 species
ACCCUAGAACUCCAACGUACGUAAAAUUUACGUGUAUUUUUUAAUACAACCCUGACUACUUCGUUAAUGUUUACAUUCACGUGGUACGCCCCCGGCAGUGCUCUCCAGUAGAAGGCUUCAAACUCGUCUUUAUAUAUGGCUUCAAGUGCCUGAAGAAGAAAAUGACGUGCCCGCUAGUAUAUUCGAUAUGGAAAAUACCUAAGAGAAAAUUACUGAAGCCGAUUUCAUAAAUCGCUUUCGUUUCUCACAGGAAAUUGUGCAAAAUGUUUUGUUGACAUUAACCACUCACCAAGAACAGAACAAAUCACAAAUCGAGGCCUUGAUACAGGCGUAAGAUUUAAGAAGUGAAACCAUUUUAAGUCGAAAAUAAAGCUGUCUGGUGUGGAAAUAGCGUGCGUAGAAUUACAGUCUUACAAUAUAAUUCGUUUAAAACCUCCAUUAAUAAAUUAAAUAUUCAAAUGGAUACACUAAGAAUUGCACAAAGAAGGAUCGAACGAGUAUGCUGGAAAUACGACUGCGAGAUAGAAAAAGUAAGAAGUAAAAGUAAUUGACACUGCUCAACAGGUGGCAAGACUGAAGGUGAAAUGGGAGGGACAUCUCAUGAGAACGGAGGACAAUAGAUGGUCUAGGAAAGUGACCGAAUGGCGACCAAGAGGAUGCAGAAGAAACCCCGGAAGACUAGGUGGAAGGCGAUAUCCAGAAAGUAGAGGGAGUGAAAUGGAGGAGUAGAACAGCUGAGAGAACCGGAUGAAUGGAAUGUCCAUGGAUUGUCCGAGACACGUUGAGAAUGAUGAUGAUAAAUCAAAUUGAUCUUUGUACAUUCACACAUAAAGCAAGAAGUAUUUACGUAAUGUUAAUGAGAAAAACGCCACUUAGAUGUGCGAUCAAAUACAUUCUUGUGCAAUUUCCGACUGCCGAUAGGUCAGUUUUAUGUGAGAAUUAUUGUACUAUACAGUAUCGCAUUUUUUGCCAUAAAGCUCUGUAUAAGAUGACAAACCCAAAGUGUACUCUAAUAAACGAAUAUGCAUUACUAAAAA